GAUUGAUUCCAGAUCACCAACUCAGUUGGCUAAGUAAUGUCAAUUUCCUUGUAAUACAUGAGUCAGUAAGAUAUUUGCAAAAUGAUUGAGUUGUUUCUGGGAGCUGCUGCAUUAGCCACUAUUUUCUAUUAUUUUUACAUUAAACCCAUGAACUACUGGGGAGAGAGAGGUGUCAAACAAGAAGGUCAUCCAUUAUGGCUAUUUGUAGACAGCAGGAAAUCAAAAUAUGGAAAAGAGAGCGUUUUCGAUUCAGUUGUCAGGUCUUAUAACCAAUUUCAGGACACAAGAUAUCACGGAAUAUAUGAUUCCACUCGACCUAUUUUAAUAAUAAAAGAUCCAGAACUACUAAAACAAAUCACUGUUAAAGAUUUUGAUCACUUCACCGAUCACAGAAGCCAUAUUGAAUUGGAUGUUGAUCCACUAUGGAGCAGAAAUUUAUUUUUUUCAAAAGGU